rnacentral:rRNA from 1 species
UACGGAGGGUGCUAGCGUUGUCCGGAAUCACUGGGCGUAAAGGGCGCGUAGGCGGCUUCUCAAGCGUGUGGUGAAAGUCCGGGGCUCAACCCCGGAUCGGCCGUGCGGACUGGGGAGCUCGAGUUCUGUAGAGGCGGGUGGAAUUCCGGGCGUAGCGGUGGAAUGCGUAGAGAUCCGGAAGAACACCGGUGGCGAAGGCGGCCCGCUGGGCAGAGACUGACGCUGAGGCGCGACAGCGUGGGGAGCAAACAGG